GAUGAACGCUGGCGGCGUGCUUAACACAUGCAAGUCGAACGGAAAGGCCCAAGCUUGCUUGGGUACUCGAGUGGCGAACGGGUGAGUAACACGUGGGUGAUCUGCCCUUCACUUCGGGAUAAGCCUGGGAAACUGGGUCUAAUACCGGAUAGGACCACAUUUUGGAUGGUGUGGUGGAAAGUUUUUCGGUGUGGGAUGAGCUCGUGGCCUAUCAGCUUGUUGGUGGGGUAAUGGCCUACCAAGGCGUCGACGGGUAGCCGGCCUGAGAGGGUGUACGGCCACAUUGGGACUGAGAUACGGCCCAGACUCCUACGGGAGGCAGCAGUGGGGAAUAUUGCACAAUGGGCGCAAGCCUGAUGCAGCGACGCCGCGUGGGGGAUGACGGCCUUCGGGUUGUAAACUCAUUUCGCUAGGGACGAAGCGUUAUGUGACGGUACCUGGAGAAGAAGCACCGGCUAACUACGUG
rnacentral:rRNA from 1 species